GCUAAAGGUUUCUCUCUAUUAAUUACUUCUUCGCACCUGGAUAUAAUUACCAUUCACAAGAGUCUGCCUCUUUUCAGGCUUAACUCUCAACAAGGUUUUCCAAGAAAGCAUCCUUCACGACUAAAGACUGCCUCCUGAAGGAUGGGACAAAGAGGGCAUGUUCCCAUGUUUCUGGGAGAAAGUGGCGGGACAACAGGAAGUGUGGACGAACCAUCAGGAUUGUUUAUGCUGAGUUGCAGCAACUACCCGGGAUUUCCGACUGAGGCUGUUCCAAGCCAGACCUGGAGCUACUGUUAAACCUUGAAUCUUUUGCAUGCAAUGCAGGUAGAUUCAGCAGGCCUGGCAUCAGCACAUGACAUCCUUGAGAAGUCCCAACACCCUGGCAGGACCCACCAUUAAUGCCUGCCCUGGGUCUCAUUUAAAAAUUCAGCUGUGUCCAAGAGCCACCAUUUUAAUUCCCAACAAUACCCAGGAGCAACGCUAUGACAGAGGCAUUCUGGGUUUGUUGAGAGGUUCCUCCGUUUGCUAGGUGCAUCUCUAUUCUGCCUUUCUGUACCCUGAUUUUCACUAUUCUGGCACAACUUCUAGACUGUUUCCUUUUGGCUAUGCAGCUGCAUAUAAGAAGACUGGCGGUAUGAACAAACGACCAUUCAGGUUAGCAGUCCACCGCUAUUGAUUAACCCCAAUAAACUUGUGAGAAACCACAUUUUAUGCUAGGGAUUUUAUCAUAUACAUCAUAGCUUGUUUCCUGCCCAAAAUACACGAGUCUGGGAAUGGGUGGGGCUAGCUUUACCCUCCCAGUGCCACUGCUUGCGCUAACAU